AACGAACGCUGGCGGCAUGCCUAACACAUGCAAGUCGAACGAGACCUUCGGGUCUAGUGGCGCACGGGUGCGUAACGCGUGGGAACCUGCCCUUAGGUUCGGAAUAACUCCCCGAAAGGGGUGCUAAUACCGGAUAAUGUCUUCGGACCAAAGAUUUAUCGCCUUUGGAUGGGCCCGCGUUGGAUUAGCUAGUUGGUAGGGUAAAAGCCUACCAAGGCGACGAUCCAUAGCUGGUCUGAGAGGAUGACCAGCCACACUGGGACUGAGACACGGCCCAGACUCCUACGGGAGGCAGCAGUGGGGAAUAUUGGACAAUGGGCGAAAGCCUGAUCCAGCAAUGCCGCGUGAGUGAUGAAGGCCUUAGGGUUGUAAAGCUCUUUUACCCGGGAUGAUAAUGACAGUACCGGGAGAAUAAGCUCCGGCCAACUCCGUG
rnacentral:rRNA from 1 species